rnacentral:rRNA from 1 species
UACGGGGGGGGCAAGCGUUGUUCGGAAUUACUGGGCGUAAAGGGCUCGUAGGUGGCCAACUAAGUCAGACGUGAAAGCCCUCAGCUUAACUGGGGAACUGCGUCUGAUACUGGAUGGCUUGAGUUUGGGAGAGGGAUGCGGAAUUCCAGGUGUAGCGGUGAAAUGCGUAGAUAUCAGGAGGAACACCGGUGGCGAAGGCGGGUCUCUGGGCAGUAACUGACGCUGAGGAGCGAAAGCGUGGGGAGCGAACAGG